rnacentral:rRNA from 1 species
UGAAUACGAGACGCUAAGGCGUCGAAGUAGUGUAUGUCAUACUUCCAAGAAAAGCUUGCACUGUCAUAAGUAAAAAAUGCCUGUACCAUAACCGACACAGGUGGGUAGGUAGAGUAUACUAAGGGGCGCGAGAUAACUCUCUCUAAGGAACUCGGCAAAAUAACUCCGUAACUUCGGGAGAAGGAGUGCCUUAUUCUUAAGGUUGCAAUAACAAGAUCCAAGCAACUGUUUAUCAAAAACACAGGUCUCCGCUAAGUCGCAAGACGAUGUAUGGGGGCUGACGCCUGCCCAGUGCCAGAAGGUUAAAGAAGUUGGUUAGCUUUUGCGAAGCUGAUAACUGAAGCCCUGGUGAACGGCGGCCGUAACUAUAACGGUCCUAAGGUAGCGAAAUUCCUUGUCGGGUAAGUUCCGACCCGCACGAAAGGCGUAAUGAUUUGGAUACUGUCUCGGAGAGGGGCUCGGUGAAAUAGACUUGUCUGUGAAGAUGCGGACUACCUGCACCAGGACAGAAAGACCCUAUGAAGCUUUACUGUAACUUGAAAUUGAAAUUGGACUUUAUUCGCGCAGUAUAGGUGGGAGGCGUUGAUUGUAAUCUUGCGGGAUUAUUGGAGCCAUCAGUGAGAUACCACUCUUGUAAUGUUAGAUUUCUAACUUUGUAUCAUUAUCUGGUCAAAGAACAGUUUCAGGCGGGCAGUUUGACUGGGGCGGUCGCCUCCUAAACGGUAACGGAGGCGUACAAAGGUUUCCUCUGAACGGUUAGAAAUCGUAUCUAGAGUGUAAAGGCAUAAGGAAGCUUGACUGUGAGACCUACAAGUCGAGCAGGGACGAAAGUCGGUCUUAGUGAUCUGACGGUACUGAGUGGAAAGGCCGUCACUCAACGGAUAAAAGUUACUCUACGGAUAACAGGCUGAUCUCCCCCAAGAGUUCACAUCGACGGGGAGGUUUGGCACCUCGAUGUCGGCUCAUCGCAUCCUGGGGCGGUAGUACGUCCCAAGGGUUGGGCUGUUCGCCCAUGAAAGCGGUACGCGAGCUGGGUUCAGAACGUCGUGAGACAGUUCGGUCCAUAUCCGGUGUAGGCGUUAGAAUAUUGAGAGGAGCCUUCUUUAGUACGAGAGGACCGAGAAGGACAUACCUCUGGUGUACCAGUUAUCGUGCCAACGGUAAACGCUGGGUAGCUAUGUAUGGAGUGGAUAACCGCUGAAAGCAUCUAAGUGGGAAGCCCACCUCAAGAUAAGUAUUCUCAUC